rnacentral:lncRNA from 1 species
CCCGCCUCUACCAUUUACCCGCCCAGCCUGGAGCGUCCGGGCCGGCAAGUCCAGCGCCGGGGCCUCACUGUUUCCGCGUGUGAAGCGUUCGAAGACUGCCAUGGACCCGCGGCCGGAGACCGCAUCCGCCUGUAGCACUAACGCGUCCCGCAGCGCUGCGUAGCCGCACAGCACCACCGCAGGGCGCGGGCCCAGCCGCACUGUGAACACCCGGCCCCAGCGGCCGGAGAGCUACGGGAGGAGUUCUAGUCCCCAGCCCCACCUUCACGAAUCCAGAAUUCCGUCCCCCAAUUCCUGUCGGGAAUGGAGUGCGCGGUCCAGGCCUCCGGACUGCAGCUGCAAGUUCUCCAGCAAUGGGAGCAGCCUGGGCCGGGGAGGUAGGGACCCCCGCAUCUGAGCGCGGCACCCACCCUACCCCCACCACGCCGGCGCCAGCACCAGAAGCCACAACAGCAGCGCAGCGAUACCCGCGAUCAUCAUGCCUGCAAUUCUCCACGCCUGCACCCCUUCACCUCUAUUUGAUUUCCAAGGGGUCUU